UAUAUUUUACGAGGCAAGUGUGUGCUUCGAACCGUGUCAGGGUCGGAAGGCAGCAGCACUAAGGAGAUUUCGCAUUGUGCCUUACUUUGAAUAUAAC
rnacentral:SRP_RNA from 1 species